UACGUAGGGGGCAAGCGUUGUCCGGAAUUAUUGGGCGUAAAGAGCGCGUAGGCGGUCCGAUAAGUCGGCUGUGAAAGUCAGGGGCUCAACCCUUGGAAGCCGGCCGAUACUGUCGGACUAGAGUCCGGAAGAGGCGAGUGGAACUCCUGGUGUAGCGGUGGAAUGCGUAGAGAAUCCGGAAGAACACCGGUGGCGAAGGCGGCCUGCUGGGCAGUAGCUGACGCUGAUGCGCGACAGCGUGGGGAGCAAACAGG
rnacentral:rRNA from 1 species